ACGCUUUUUGUCAGUUCCCGAAAAUUAAUGUGAUAUUUUUCCAAUUUUUGUCGUCCCUGGCAUUAGUCAUUUUUAUGGGGAAUUUUUUAUUUCUACAUUGGCAUCCCUCAACAACUGGCGGCAGAAUACCAUCAUGGCGGCGAGUAGUAAAAGUCGAAAAAUGUUGCUUUUUGAAGCAAAAUUCAGUUAUUUCUCCUAUUAUUUGUGCAAAAACUUAACAUGAGGUUUCGGUGUUUUCGUUCCCGUAAUUAGUUUUGUGAUUCUGAGAGUGAUUUUUUAACUUUCGGGAAAGUACCCCCGAGAUGAUUUUUUUGGAUACCAGUACCCGUAAGUCAAUUUUACAUUAUCAAUAACAAUUAUUACGAAUGACAAGAUAGAAUAUUGUUGACCUCUUGGCCUUUCCAAGAAUUUUGCUUGCCUGGUCCCAGUACCUUGUAAUUACAGUUUUCUGUUUUACCACUAUUAAGAUGGAGAAGAAAUAUUCCAGAUUUUUUAUGUUUAUAAGUGAAUUCAUGAAGUUUGAAAUUACAGUUCUAAUUAAUAGAAACAAUUACGUUUUUUGUCAGUUACUGAAAAUUAAAGUGAUAUUUCUCCAAUUUUUGUCGUCUCUGGCAUUAGUCAUUUUUAUGGGGAAUUUUUUAUUUCUACAUUGGCACCUCUCAAUAACUGGCGGCAGAUUACUAUCAUGGCGGCGAGUAGUAAAAGUCGAAAAAUGUUGCUUUUUCAAGCAAAAAUCAGUUAUUUCUACCAUUGUUUGUGCAAAAACUUAACAUGAGUUUCGGUGUUUUCGUUCCCGUGAUUAGUUUUGUGACUGAGAGUGAUUUUUUAACUUUCGGGAAAGUACCCCCGAGAUGAUUUUUUUGGAUACCAGUACCCGUUGUGGGGUCCUUCUCGAGGUGCGACUCCAGAGCCAUUUUAUCCUGAUUUCGGUCAUCAAUGAAGAGUUUGCUGUUGGGGCACAUUUUGCCGAACGUUUGAUGGAUCUUUUGGUGGUUAUCUCCUUUGCUGCUGGGCUUUAAUUACCAUACCAGAGGAGGAAUUUGUUGUCGACCCAGAAUGGUUGUAUGGUUGGUCAGAGUCACUUAAAUAUAUGGUUGCAUCAUGACAGAUGUGAGUUUGAAAUUUCUGGGCCUGGUUUAUAUUUGAAUUGGAGCAGGGAUGUAAGAAGGUUGCUGGAUCCUUCUGGCAUACUAUGGUACUGAAUGAAUAAAAUCCGACUUUGAACUCAUGUUGGGGCACAUUUUGCAGAACGUUUGGUAAAUAUUUUGGUGGCUAUUUCUUUCGGUGCUGCUGUUGUUGCUCAGUUAUCGCAUGGGCUUUAAUUACCAUACCAGAGGGUGAAUUUGUUGACCACCCAGAAUGGUUCUAUGGUACUGGAUGGUUGGGAUUUAUCCAGUCACUAAAAUGGAUGGUUACACCAUGACUUAUAAAUUCAAAGCUUCGCUCAAACCAAUGAACAUGUGAGGUCCUAAAGACCUAAUCUUGCGGUACACUUGGAUGCAGUGGAAGAAGAGUGAGGCAAAACAAGACGAGAAAGCACUGGGGGAUACAGGGGACUGCAAAAGGCAACUCAGAAUCGAACGAGUAAUUGGAAAAGGAGCCUUUAUUUUAUUCCAGGGACUAAUAUUACGCAUGUUUGUCAUAUUAGGUUUAGUGGAAGCGAAAAUGCCACAGAACUGUAAUUUGCCCGAAAUUAUUUUUGUAUAUAUCUAGUUAUUUAUUGUAUUACAGUUUUAUUUUUAAUAAAGUGUUAAAAUUG